AAUUUUAUAUUGCUUUAGUGAUUUCCAUAUGACUUUUUUAAGUAGGAGAAAUAAAUGUGAGUUAUCAGUUUUUCUUCUUAAAAGUGGGACUAUGUUGUGUCUUUGCAGGCCAUGUAUCCUCUGUGUGCCCUUCCUCCCAACCUACCCAGUGAAACUCAGCCACUUUUUUGUUUCUUGCCUGAGGAUCAUCUUUUACUUUCCGUAGUAAGAUUUUCUUUUUUCUUUUAGCAGCUGCCUUCGGCAGAGGUUUAUUGAGCAUCUAGCAGCUGCCAGGCCCUCUACAGAGGUGUUGUCCAUACACAUGUGGAAUAAUCACAGACCUUGCUCUCAGGAGUCCACAAGUCAGAAGUGUAGGGUCUUCUAUUGCAGCUGAUAAUGUAAUGUUGAAAGUGAUAGAGGAAAAGUUACCUAAUUCAGGAUUGAGGGAUUAAAAAGAAGGAUGAAUUGGUCAGGAAUUCCCCCACAUGACUAAGGCAGCAGUGAAACUAACAAAACCAGGAGCCAGCAUAGAAGCGAGAAUACCCAUACCCUCGGAGAAGGAAGAGAAGUUUGGUGGACUGGAUAUACAGUGCAGUGUGGGCUGGGCAAGGCUGGGGCAAGGGAGAGGAGAUGGGACUGCAUCCAGGUGACAGAGCACUGUGAGCGUUCCCGAGAGAAUCUAGUAUUUAUUCUGUAGGAAAAGCAGCUGGACGAUCUACUCACAUCUGUGGUGCUGCAUCAUUUUCCCUUUAAUAGUUCUUUCUUUUCAUUCAUAAACUAUUUCAAAUAUAGUCCUAUUGAAAUGUCACUGUGCUUUUUGCGGGAAGUGCAGGGGAUGUGUUGGUUGGGACAGAGCUGGUCAUUGGAAUACCAGAGGAAGCCUGUUCAUCUCCUGUAGAUCAACACACUCAGCAGGAAAGUAAAGAGCAGCUUCUCUUUGCCAGGCACUGGCUCUCAGUGUUUGGGACCUGUUGGGGAACAAGGUAAGCCCUGGUGGGGAGUACAUUCAUGACUGAAGACAGUAAUACUGAGUAAAUAAGCCAACAGGCCAGCACGUUAUAUAUUCUUUUAGAAGAUGAUGAAUCCUGUAGGCCAAGGGCAUUGGGAGUGCCAGGGCAGAGGCAGUGUGGGCAUGGGUCACAGAGGCCUCAUUUGGAAGGCAACAUUUGAGUGAAAAGCUGAGUAAAGUUGCAGGUGGUAGCCAUGCAGAUUUCUAGGGGAAACAUUUUAGGCAGUAGGAACAGGUGCUGCAAAGCAAGAGGAUUGGCCUGGGAAAAUGGCAGUGGAGCAGAGAAGACCUGAGGUUAGCCUGAAGAAGGGGAGGGAGGAGUGGAUGAUCACCAGCCUUGCUUCAGGUGAGGUGGUGGCCAUGAAGAGCAAAGGCCAGAGAGAUCACCAGGUUAGUGAGGAGAUUUUAGACAGGGUGAGAUGGAGAGGCUCGCAGAGUGCCCAGUUGAGGGCCAGUUCGUUGUGUAGUGUGAGUCUGGAGCUCAGCAGAGGUACUGGGCUAGAAAUACCCCUUGGGGAAUACUGAGAAACUCAGAAUAUAUGCUCAGGUACAGCUGCCCUAACAAAGGCCCACAUACUGUGUGGCUUAAACAAAAGGC
rnacentral:lncRNA from 1 species